GCGCGAACACUUUACAAUGCGGGAAACCGCGAUAAGGGAACCCCGAGUGCCAGCAUCAAAUGUUGGCUGUCCAGAUGAUUAAAAAUCAUUUGUUAGCAAGGGCCGGGCAAGACCGGUGCCAGCCGCCGCGGUAACACCGGCGGCCCGAGUGGUAGCCGUUUUUAUUGGGUCUAAAGGGUCCGUAGCCGGCCUGAUAAGUCCUUUGGGAAAUCUGGCAGCUUAACUGUCAGGCUUCUAAGGGAUACUGUCAGGCUUGGGACCGGAAGAGGUAAGGGGUACUCCAGGGGUAGGAGUGAAAUCUUGUAAUCCCUGGGGGACCAUCUGUGGCGAAGGCGCCUUACCAGAACGGGUCCGACGGUGAGGGACGAAAGCUAGGGGAGCAAACCGG
rnacentral:rRNA from 1 species